CAUGGCUUCCCAUACUUUGACAAAACCUCAGACGUGUGGCCUUCUGGUCAAGGGUCUGUGAUUUCAUAUUGUUAGAACAUUCAUUAUAUCCCUGAGAGUUGCAGCUCUCUAUAAGUUUGCUGUGGCUGAACCAAGAAAGAAGAAAUAUACAGAUUUCUACAGAAAUUAUGAUUCUGUGAAAGAUUUUGAGGAGGUGAAGGAGGCUGGUACCUUUCAGAGUGCAAAG
rnacentral:lncRNA from 1 species